rnacentral:tRNA from 1 species
GCAUAUAUGGCCGAGUGGUUAAGGCGACUGACUCGAAAUCAGUUUCCAUCUUGGAGCGUAGGUUCGAAUCCUACUAUCUGCG